rnacentral:rRNA from 1 species
GAUGAACGCUGGCGGCGUGCCUAAUACAUGCAAGUCGAGCGAACAGACGAGGCGCUUGCUCCUCUGACGUUAGCGGCGGACGGGUGAGUAACACGUGGAUAACCUACCUAUAAGACUGGGAUAACUUCGGGAAACCGGAGCUAAUACCGGAUAAUCUAUUGAACCGCAUGGUUCAAUAGUGAAAGACGGUUUUGCUGUCACUUCUCGAUGGAUCCGCGCCGCAUUAGCUAGUUGGUAAGGUAACGGCUUACCAAGGCAACGAUGCGUAGCCGACCUGAGAGGGUGAUCGGCCACACUGGAACUGAGACACGGUCCAGACUCCUACGGGAGGCAGCAGUAGGGAAUCUUCCGCAAUGGGCGAAAGCUUGACGGAGCAACGCCGCGUGAGUGAUGAAGGUCUUCGGAUCGUAAAACUCUGUUAUUAGGGAAGAACAAAUGUGUAAGUAACUAUGCACGUCUUGACGGUACCUAAUCAGAAAGCCACGGCUAACUACGUG